rnacentral:sRNA from 18 species
ACAGCCACGUCGUUUGUGGCUGAAAGCUCACAGUUGUGAAUGCAAUAACAUGAAGAAGGAAGUGUCAUG